GCAGAGACCGGCGCACGGGUGCGUAACGCGUAUGCAAUCUACCUUUCACAGAGGGAUAGCCCAGAGAAAUUUGGAUUAAUACCUCAUAGUAUAGCAGUUUCGCAUGAAACCACUAUUAAAGUCACAACGGUGAAAGAUGAGCAUGCGUCCCAUUAGCUAGUUGGUAAGGUAACGGCUUACCAAGGCAACGAUGGGUAGGGGUCCUGAGAGGGAGAUCCCCCACACUGGUACUGAGACACGGACCAGACUCCUACGGGAGGCAGCAGUGAGGAAUAUUGGACAAUGGGCGCAAGCCUGAUCCAGCCAUGCCGCGUGCAGGAUGACGGUCCUAUGGAUUGUAAACUGCUUUUAUACGAGAAGAAACCCUCCGACGUGUCGGAGCUUGACGGUAUCGUAAGAAUAAGGAUCGGCUAACUCCGUGCCAGCAGCCGCGGUAAUACGGAGGAUCCAAGCGUUAUCCGGAAUCAUUGGGUUUAAAGGGUCCGUAGGCGGUCAGGUAAGUCAGUGGUGAAAGCCCAUCGCUCAACGGUGGAACGGCCAUUGAUACUGUCUGACUUGAAUUAUUAGGAAGUAACUAGAAUAUGUAGUGUAGCGGUGAAAUGCUUAGAGAUUACAUGGAAUACCAAUUGCGAAGGCAGGUUACUACUAAUGGAUUGACGCUGAUGGAC
rnacentral:rRNA from 1 species